rnacentral:sRNA from 1 species
CGUAGGUGAACCUGCGGAGGGAUCAUUACACAAUAAAAUACGAAGGCCGUUCGCGGCUGGACUAUUUAUUACCCUUGUCUUUUGCGCACUUGUUGUUUCCUGGGCGGGUUCGCUCGCCACCAGGACCACAAUAUAAACCUUUUUUAUGCAGUUGCAAUCAGCGUCAGUAUAACAAAUGUAAAUCAUUUACAACUUUCAACAACGGAUCUCUUGGUUCUGGCAUCGAUGAAGAACGCAGCGAAAUGCGAUACGUAGUGUGAAUUGCAGAAUUCAGUGAAUCAUCGAAUCUUUGAACGCACAUUGCGCCCUUUGGUAUUCCAAAGGGCAUGCCUGUUCGAGCGUCAUUUGUACCCUCAAGCUUUGCUUGGUGUUGGGCGUUUUUGUCUUUGGCCCGCCAAAGACUCGCCUUAAAAUGAUUGGCAGCCGGCCUACUGGUUUCGCAGCGCAGCACAUUUUUGCGCUUGCAAUCAGCAAAAGAGGACGGCAAUCCAUCAAGACUCCUUCUCACG